UCAACCACAAGACAUGGUCUACCCGCACUAAGCCAUCGGCAAGGAAACAAGGUGAGAUCCCCAUGGUGAAUGUCUUUUCGUGACCUAGGGAUUGAAGAGAGAGCGCGGAGGAAGCGGCCUUGGUCGGGGAUGGACGAGGAUGGCGGGCAGCUGGAUCGCUGGACCCGGGGAUUCACAGGAGAUCUCAACUUUGCCCGAAUCUGGAAGAUAGGGUCGACGGCGAGAUGCUGCCUCGUCCGUCUCGGCUUCGGACCCAGCCUAUGCGGCGAUAAUGGCGAGAUGUUGCCUGGCCAGGGCUUAUCCCCAGCCACGCUACCGCAAGAUCCAGACAUCAUAGGGUAAUACUCUGGGUUUCCUCCAACCCAGACUAAGAUGAUUAGUUUGAUCCUUCUUCUAUUGGAUGAGUUGAUGACCAAAAAAUCCCAGUCUUAGGCACGCCAUUUUUCCCAGGGAAUCUUUUUUUUCUUAAUUAGGAUAUCUUGUCGGAUUAAGAUUGCUUUAGUUUCUGGAACUUCCUAUUGAUUGGUCCGAUCUUGUUUUACCUGCUGCAAUUUUUUUCUGCAAGAUGAAGACGAGGUGGUGUGCAAUCACGCCUUUGGUGCUCCUUACUCUUUGAUUGGAGCUGACGAAAGGGUGAGGGGCUGUUUUAUUUUCAACUUUCAUGUCUAGCACUUUUCUCUUCUAGCAGAUAUACAAGUUGUUGCCGACGACUCCGGUCGGGCGGAUGAUGCCAUGGUCGACCAUGUCCUGUAUGAAAUGCUGGGCAGAUGAUAACAUUGUUGCCUUCUGUCUCUGUGUGACAAUCCAGCUCUGCUGCACAGAUAUGAAGGUCGCAUGUUAUUCGGGUUGGACUUAAAUAGCUCAAUUUUGUCUACCAGUUGCACAUCUCUCACAAUUGCCUAAAAGAAAUGCAGAAUCUUUAUCCACAUAUACAUUUACUUUUUGUUCUAGCAGAAAAGGACAGAGACAGCAAAUGCAUCAACGGUAGGGUGGAACCAAUAUGCCUGAACCAAUGCAACAAGUCGGUAUUCUUCAAUCCCUUCUUUCAUUACGUCGGGAGUGGAUAAUCAAUGUUUUUUCUUCUUUUCUGUACCUCCUUAUUUACGUAUCUUAGUCGAAGCUAACUGCGAUUCUUUGCAUCAUCAUUGAAUGUUUCUUUGCAGGAUUUGCAGACAUUUGCUAAACUUAAAUAUGUGAAUAUGGACAGGUGAUAUUUUGCGUAAGAGUAGCACACAAAGAUUUCGGUGGUUUAGAAAUUUUAUCAAAGGAGAGAAGAGAGGAGAGGGGAGCAAAGGAGAAGAUUGAAAGAGUUUCUCUACUAUUAAAGGGGGCACAUAUUAGAGGAGAAGGAAAGCAAUUGUCUAGGAGAGUCCCUCGAUAGCAUGUCUUUAUUAUAAGCGCAAACAUGAAGUUGAAGCUCUUGCACACACUAAGAUGACAAGAUAAAAUACAUGCUUUGCAUUGCUCCAAAUAUUCGGAAAUAGCAAGUGAUACCCUAUAGUUGAUUAAAAAAGGCAGCAAUCAUUUGGGAUACUAUGUCCUCAAUAUAAUUCCUUGAAUUUAUGUUUCAGCCUUGCACAUAAUAAUAUGUGAAGAUCAGAUGCCAAAUAUUGAGACGGUAGAGGAUUUGUGGCAAGGAUCAUUCAUGAUGUUAUGUGGUGACAAGUGAAGACAAUGCUUAUGUUUUUAUUAUGCAAUAUUUCUUUUUUACUUCGAUUAGCAUAUAUUCUAUGCAAUCAUUCCAACUGAAAGAAUGAGAAAAUAAUUCCGUCUAAUGCCUUUAUUUUCCUUGAUUGUUUUUACGGUCCAUACUUGAGUGUUUCUGAUCUUUCUUUUUGAAGACGGCAGCAAAGAGCAACACACGUCGAUGUCGUUCUCUGGGAGUAUUCUCUCCGGUCACAGCCUGAUGGCAUACCUGACAGCUACAACAUCUCUGUUGAUGUCGAUGUUUGGGAGUAUUCUCUCCGGUCGCAGCCCGACGUCACACCUUACAGCUACAGCUGCUAUGCUAGCGUAUCAUGUGCAAGUGCAAGAAAUAAGCCCUUUGAUCCAGAUCCAUACAUAGCAUUACCACAAACGUAAGAGAGAUAAGUAAACUCACAGCUGUACAAUGUGUACCUCUACAUGAAAAAUGAACUUGGGACUCCUUCUGAGAAUACAAUAGUAUUUUUACCAUUGCUGGA